GGCUCGUUAGCUCAGCGGUCAGAGCACCCGUUUAUUUAACAGUGGUGGUCGGGGGUUCAAUUCCCUCACGAGCUG
rfam:Papilio machaon contig5275, whole genome shotgun sequence.